AUUAUAUAAUUAUGCAUGUGUUAAAUUUUUAAAUCUAGGUCAAUAUACAUGUAUCUGAAGUAAUGAGCAUUUGUAAAUAUACUUUCAAAUACUUCAUUUAUUAAAACUACCUUUAAAGAAAUAAAAAAAACUGCAUUAUAUAACUCAAGGACGUAUAUUGUUAGUUAUACGUCCUUAUAUAACUCAAGUACAUGCAUUACUUUUUUGUAGAUAUGUCUGUUUGUUGUUGACACUCCCUUUACUUUAAAGUUACAAUUUUGUCAUUUAAAGAUUUAAUAUUUAUUCCAGAUCAAUUUUGCACAUCUUGAAGAGAAAUUAAAACAAACAAUGGAAUGUAGCAAAGUGGACAUUAUACUUGAUGAGUGCUGAAUAUGAAGAUUUUUUGAACAGCGCACUUCUUUUUAACAUGAUGGAGUUGCAAAAAGUUACCACAGUUCUAUGGACAUGAUGGACAACUAAAGGAGAAUAGUUUCAUUUGUCAAAGGACAACUAAAGGAGAAUAAUUUCAUUUGUCAAAGAACAACUGAAGGAGAAUAAUUUCAUUUGUCAAAGGACAGGAGACUUUCCAUGCCCUAAGAUUUUAAAAGCUGAAAUUGGAAAAUAAGAUGCAGAGAACCAUUCAUGAAGUAUAUAUAUGAUACUGAUAUUUACAAUGUUCUGCAGAGCUAUAACUCCAGCCCUUUAGAUUACAUUACACUACUAUUGCUUGCUAAUUCUACCAUCAAUAGCAGGAGAAGAGAGGAGAUUCAGCACUAUGAAUGAUCUUUGCAAUUUGCUGUGGAUGAUGACUAAAUCAAAUUUGGAUGCAUUGAUGAAAUUCAUAUAGCGAUGACAGUUACUUCAUUGAACAAGAAAAAGCUGUAAAUAUUUUCAAUGGUGCAAAACAAACAAGUUAUAAUGAACUAUAAAAUGAUUAAAACUG